CUCGCCCUUAGAGUUUGAUCCUGGCUCAGGAUGAACGCUAGCUACAGGCUUAACACAUGCAAGUCGAGGGGCAGCGGGAUUGAAGCUUGCUUCAAUUGCCGGCGACCGGCGCACGGGUGAGUAACGCGUAUCCAACCUUCCGUACACUCAGGGAUAGCCUUUCGAAAGAAAGAUUAAUACCUGAUGGUAUGAUGAGAUUGCAUGAUAGCAUCAUUAAAGAUUUAUCGGUGUACGAUGGGGAUGCGUUCCAUUAGGUAGUAGGCGGGGUAACGGCCCACCUAGCCAACGAUGGAUAGGGGUUCUGAGAGGAAGGUCCCCCACAUUGGAACUGAGACACGGUCCAAACUCCUACGGGAGGCAGCAGUGAGGAAUAUUGGUCAAUGGACGAGAGUCUGAACCAGCCAAGUAGCGUGAAGGAUGAAGGUCCUACGGAUUGUAAACUUCUUUUAUAAGGGAAUAAACCCUCCCACGUGUGGGAGCUUGUAUGUACCUUAUGAAUAAGCAUCGGCUAACUCCGUGCCAGCAGCCGCGGUAAUACGGAGGAUGCGAGCGUUAUCCGGAUUUAUUGGGUUUAAAGGGAGCGCAGACGGGUCGUUAAGUCAGCUGUGAAAGUUUGGGGCUCAACCUUAAAAUUGCAGUUGAUACUGGCGUCCUUGAGUGCGGUUGAGGUGUGCGGAAUUCGUGGUGUAGCGGUGAAAUGCUUAGAUAUCACGAAGAACUCCGAUUGCGAAGGCAGCACACUAAUCCGUAACUGACGUUCAUGCUCGAAAGUGUGGGUAUCAAACAGGAUUAGAUACCCUGGUAGUCCACACGGUAAACGAUGGAUACUCGCUGUUGGCGAUAUACUGUCAGCGGCUUAGCGAAAGCG
rnacentral:rRNA from 1 species